rnacentral:rRNA from 1 species
UACGUAGGGUGCAAGCGUUGUCCGGAAUUAUUGGGCGUAAAGAGCUCGUAGGCGGUCUGUCGCGUCUGCUGUGAAAACCUGGGGCUUAACCCCGGGCCUGCAGUGGGUACGGGCAGACUAGAGUGUGGUAGGGGAGACUGGAAUUCCUGGUGUAGCGGUGAAAUGCGCAGAUAUCAGGAGGAACACCGGUGGCGAAGGCGGGUCUCUGGGCCAUAACUGACGCUGGAGGAGCGAAAGCGUGGGGAGCGAACAGG